rnacentral:rRNA from 1 species
CGUGUAGGCGGUUUAUUAAGUCUGAUGUGAAAGCCCCGGGCUCAACCUGGGAAGUGCAUUGGAUACUGGUAGACUUGAGUACGGGAGAGGGUAGUGGAAUUCCUAGUGUAGGAGUGAAAUCCGUAGAUAUUAGGAGGAACACCGGUGGCGAAGGCGGCUGCCUGGACCGAUACUGACGCUGAGACGCGAAAGCGUGGGGAGCAAACA